rnacentral:rRNA from 1 species
CACGCCCUAAACGAUGUCAACUGGUUGUUGGGAAGGUUCCUUCUCAGUAACGUAGCUAACGCGUGAAGUUGACCGCCUGGGGAGUACGGCCGCAAGGUUGAAACUCAAAGGAAUUGACGG